AUUCUGCCCAAGCGGGGAAGGAUGAGAAGCUUCGACCAAGGUUCGACUCGAGCGUCAGCGAGAGAGCGUUGCCGCAGGCAACGACCCGUAGGGCGAAGCGCGCAGCGCUGAGUAAUCCUUCCCCCACCACCA
rnacentral:sRNA from 1 species